rnacentral:misc_RNA from 1 species
GAUGAAGAACGCAGCGAAAUGCGAUAAGUAAUGUGAAUUGCAGAAUUCAGUGAAUCAUCGAAUCUUUGAACGCACAUUGCGCCCCCUGGUAUUCCGGGGGGCAUGCCUGUCCGAGCGUCAUUACAACCCUCAAGCUCAGCUUGGUGUUGGGCCCCGCCGCCCCGGCGGGCCCUAAAGUCAGUGGCGGUGCCGUCCGGCUCCGAGCGUAGUAAUUCUUCUCGCUCUGGAGGUCCGGUCGUGUGCUCGCCAGCAACCCCCAAUUUUUUUCAGGUUGACCUCGGAUCAGGUAGGGAUACCCGCUGAACUUAAGCAUAUCAAUAAGCGUAGGA